UUGAACGCUGGCGGCAUGCUUUACACAUGCAAGUCGAACGGCAGCGCGGGCUUCGGCCUGGCGGCGAGUGGCGAACGGGUGAGUAAUGCAUCGGAACGUGCCCAGUAGUGGGGGAUAGCCCGGCGAAAGCCGGAUUAAUACCGCAUACGACCUGAGGGUGAAAGCGGGGGACCGAAAGGCCUCGCGCUAUUGGAGCGGCCGAUGUCGGAUUAGCUAGUUGGUGGGGUAAAGGCUUACCAAGGCGACGAUCCGUAGCUGGUCUGAGAGGACGACCAGCCACAGGGGGAGUGAGACACGGCGCAGAGGGCGACGGGAGGCAGAAGGGGGGAAUGUGGGACAAAGGGGGGAAGGGGGAGGCAGCGAGGCCGCGGGCGGGAAGAAGGGGUGGGGGGGGUAAAGCGGGGGGGUGGGGGAAGAAAGCCGCUGGGGUAAGACGCGGGGGGGAUGACGGUAGGGGAAGAAUAAGCACCGGCUAACUACGUG
rnacentral:rRNA from 1 species